AGAGAAGGUCUCUGGCAUCUCUUCAUACAGGAUACUGUUGUGAUAGGAUCAAGUUCCAGCCUUAUGAAUUUAUUUAACUUACGUUUUCUUCCUUAGGGCCCCCUCUCCAGACAUAGCUAACCUGGGGACUUCAAUAUGUGUGCACCACAAUACCUGGUCAACAAGGGCAACAAGUACUUUCUUGGAUGUCCAAAGGAAAUCCAGCCAUUGCAAAGCAGGAGCAAAAACAACUCCCUUCUCCUCAGACUCAACGAGAGAUACACCCCCCAACACUGAAGAAUCUUGGGUUUGGAAACAGCUUCACCAUCAUUAUGAGAAGACGCAAAGAGAGGGUUGAAAUACAGAUUCAUGGACGUUAGUGGAGAAAGGAAAGAACAGCCUUGUCUUCCUGCCCUAGAGAUAGGUCAUUAGCAAUUCUACCUUUUAUCUGCUCCUGUGGGAAACCAUGAUCUCAACAGCAUAGGAACACAACAUGAAAAACUCCCCCCACACAAAGGAAAUGAAAGCGGUAUCUCCACCUCAUGUCAUGGAUGCAGAAAUCUGAACUCAUUCACCUCUCUACUUAUCCCAGCUUUGUCAAGAUCCUGAUUCUGUUCAGAUAUGGGAGAUCUACCACAGCCUGAGUACUUCAAGGGAGGAGGAUUCCUACAAGUCUGGCAGACUCUCCCUCCCAUCAAAUAUGGACAACAAGCAUCAUGGUGACGAGGACCAUUGUGACACUCCCGUGACUGAGGUGAAAUAAACCUUUGCCCUGAGCUAAUGCUGACCCGGGAGUGAAAGAACUCAGACUUGUGUCAAUGUAUUGAGCUCAGCAUCCAACAACGCUGUCACCCUCUCUCUGUCUGAGCUUCAAUAAAUACGAGCCAAUAAAUCCACUGC